rnacentral:tRNA from 1 species
GGAGAGAUGGCUCAGUGGUUAAGAGCACUAGCUAUUCCUACAGAGGACCUGGGUUCAAGUCCCAGUAUCCACA